rnacentral:snRNA from 2 species
GUCUCUCCGGAGACAUCCGAUAAAAUUAGAACGAUACAGAGAAGAUUAGCAUGACCUCUGCGCAAGGAGUCCAAAUUUUAGAUGCCUUACUAAAAAAU